rnacentral:tRNA from 1 species
GGUGAUGUAGCUCAUCGGUAGAGCACUAGACUCAUAAUCUAGCGGUAGCAGGUUCGAAUCCUGCCAUCUCU